GAUGCUGGUUAACAAUUUGGAUUGAGUAGAUUCGGAAAAGAAAGAUACCCCAAUAAAUAGAGCUGCAUUAGGGUUUAUGAAUGGCACGGAGCUAAGCUGGUCCAUAUACGCCUUGGCCUGCUCCGUUAUUACUGCCCUCACCUUAUAUUCAAAGAAACUGAGCAGACUGUCUAUGUACUCUGCAAGGCCAAUGGAUUUAUCAAAUGUGGGAAUCUCAAAAAAUUCAAUGGAGUUCUGCUAGAGCGAUACCCAUUUUGUGCUGAAGAACCUGGAAUGAGUUGAUGCAAAUAUUAUUCUCGGUGGAAAAGCUGCGAUUCAGUGUGUGAAUCGUUUUCUGUCAAAACCUACCCAUAGGAAGGUCUUUGUUAUUGUCAUAUGCUUCACCGAGAUAGAACGUAAAAAAAAAUAUAUAUUGUCCUUAUUCUAAUUUGUCUUUUUAAUGUGAUUAAUUCAGAAAAAUAAUGUGAUUAAUUUGAUGUCUUAGUAAUUCCAAACUGAAUAGGAAGGAGUAAACAAUUACUGUAUAAUUAUUGUUAGUAAAAAAAAAAAAAGAAAAA